rnacentral:lncRNA from 1 species
CGCAUUGAAAAGGAAAGGCCAUCUGUCACUGUAAUUAUCAUUGUUUUUCUCAUCUGGUUUGCGGAUGAUGUUAAAAUCACCACCUAUAAUAAUAGGUACGGUUUCUUUUGAACAUACCUGAACCAUCUCUGAUAAAAAGGAGGACUUAUGUUCAGCCUGAGCCGGCCCAUAAACAGAAAUUAAAUUGAAUUUAAAAUCAUCUUCUCGGUGUCUU